ensembl:lncRNA
CCUGAUUUGUGUUUCAAGUUUGUCCUUCCCAGGGGUAUGUCCUCCAUUUCCUAAGUGUAACCUACAUUCUUGAGAUCAAAUAUAGAGAGCAUUCAUUGCUUGUGUGCACCUGCUGGCAGACAACAUCAUAUUUCAGAGAUCCUGAAUUGUUUUGAAGGAAUAGUCAACUAGGACCUAUUUCUGAAUGGCUGUUUUUUCAGAAAGUACAUUCUUGAUCAAUGAUAUUUUUUUGUGGAACUAUAAUGAAAGCAUUAUAAUCUGGCAUUACUGAAGAAAAGUAAACAGACAAAGAAUACAUCAGUGUCAAUUGCCAUUUGUGUGACAGAUUUGCACCAGCUGCAAUCAUGCUCAUCAACUUAUUAAAAAAUAAAGGUAGGUUAAGCAGAUGAUAGUCUAAUGCUCCAUUAUUUAAGUUUUUUAAAGUAUUUUAAUAUCCUUGUUUGUUCAAGGUGCACAUUUUAUUGGAAUUGCAUUCCUCAAAUCUCUGAUAAAAAUUACCUAAUGAAAAAUGCCUUCAGUCAAGAAGCUUUUGCCUUCGUUCUGGGGAUGAGCAGUUUAACCCUAAUAUUAAGGAAGAGGCCAAGGUUUUCUGUUACGAGUUGUAACCAGAAAACACAGAAGUCUGAGGUUUGAAAACUUUUCCUAAAAUUUGUCUUGUGUUUGUCUACUUCAUGUGUUUGUGUGCUAUGUCAGUGCACAGCCUGAAUUAAUCUUCUUGCUAGUGAGUUUUUCUGCAAGUAUUCAAACAACUGACAGAAUUAUGAUGCUG